GCAAAAUGAUGAUUAUCUUUUUAACCCUGAGGUCAUCUCGAUGAAGACUAAAAAUAACAACAACUCUAAUUUUUUCCUGACU
rnacentral:snoRNA from 1 species